rnacentral:rRNA from 1 species
CUCUCCUACGGGACGCAGCAGUGAGGAAUAUUGGUCAAUGGGCGGAAGCCUGAACCAGCCAAGUCGCGUGAGGGAAUAAGGCCCUACGGGUCGUAAACCUCUUUUGCCGGGGAGCAAGGGCCGGGACGCGUCCCGGCCCGGAGAGUACCCGGAGGAAAAGCAUCGGCUAACUCCGUGCCAGCAGCCGCGGUAAUACGGAGGAUGCGCGCGUUAUCCCGAUUUAUUGGGUUUAAAGGGUGCGUAGGCGGGCUUUUAAGUCAGCGGUAAAAAUUCGGGGCUCA